rnacentral:misc_RNA from 1 species
GUAGGUGAACCUGCGGAAGGAUCAUUCAUCAAAGUGUUUAUGGCACUUUCAAAUCCAUUACCCACCUUGUGUGCAUUGUCGGGGAGGACUCUCUCUCUCUCUCUUCUCAAUCUCCUUUCUCUCUCUCUCUCGGGAGGAGGAGGAGGAGGAGGAGGAGAAGAAGGAAAAAGGGAGGGAUUCUCCUUUUUACACAUACCAUGUUCUUCAGUAUCAGUCUACUUUUAUUGAGAAUAAAAAACUCAAAUACAAC